UACGGAAGGCAGCAGUGGGGAAGUAAUUGCACAAUGGGCGCAAGCCUGAUGCAGCCAUGCCGCGUGUAUGAAGAAGGCCUUCGGGUUGUAAAGUACUUUCAGUCGUGAGGAAGGUGUUAAGGUUAAUAACCUUAGCAAUUGACGUUAGCGACAGAAGAAGCACCGGCUAACUCCGUGCCAGCAGCCGCGGUAAUACGGAGGGUGCGAGCGUUAAUCGGAAUUACUGGGCGUAAAGGGCACGCAGGCGGUUAAUUAAGUUGGAUGUGAAAUCCCCGGGCUUAACCUGGGAAUGGCAUUCAAGACUGGUUAGCUAGAGUCUUGUAGAGGGGGUAGAAUUCCAUGUGUAGCGGUGAAAUGCGUAGAGAUGUGGAGGAAUACCGGUGGCGAAGGCGGCCCCUGGCAAAGGACUGACGCUCAUGUGCGAAAGCGUGGGGAGCAAACAGGGAUUAGAUACC
rnacentral:rRNA from 1 species